UAAAUAAAAAAAAAAUUAAAAAAAAAAGAAUCCAGUUAAAUCUAGGGGAUACUGAGAAUAUAUAUUUGAGGGGAGAAGUUUAACUCAUACCUUUAGAGGCUCCAGGGAUGGCUAUCUGACUGGUGCCAACUAAAAUACUCUAUCCCCCUGGCCAAAGUAACAGGUUCAGAUAUGAACAAACACAUGACCAAAGUCAGGAUAACUAGAAUCCUCCCUGGGUCUUUUUCUUGAGCUGUUAGAAAAAACACUUUUAAAAAUAAUCGUUAUGUAAUGUGAUGGAGGUGUUAGCUAACCCUACAGUGGUAAUCAUAUUGCGAUAUACAAACAAUCAGCAUGUUGUAGACCUUAAACAUACACUAUCUGGUAUGCCAAUUAUAUUUCAAUUAAAAGAACAUUCUUUUUUCUUCUAUGGUUAUUAAGCAGUUCAGAUGUGAGUCUUGAGCUAUCACCAGAUAUUUCUAUUAUCUUUAUCCACUUUAAGCACCAAAAAGGAAAUUUAUUGCUUUAUAUUACUAAGAAGUCCAGGAUAAGGCAUCAUUGGGUUCAGGUACUGAAGCCAUUUCAUUGAGACAAGGGCUCUCUCAAUUUCUUGGUUUUUCUUUCUUGGCCUUGCUAGUUUUUUUCUCAGGCAAACUCUUUCCAUAAAAGUGGCUGAAAAGAGUGGCUUGCUGUGCCUAAAUUGUACAAACAAGGUGGUUUCUGCUGAACCCUGCUUUUCUUCUUGAGAGUGUAGAAUUUUGAUAUGUGCUAGGUAGAGGGGCCUACACGACCAAUCUUUAGUGAGAGCCUUGGGCACUGAGUCUCUAGUGAGUUUUCCUGGUACACAACAUUUUACAAGUGUUGUCACAACUCUUUCCUGUGGAAAUUAAACACAUUCUGUGUGAUUCUAUUAGGAGAAGACUCCUGCCAUCGAAAGAUGAAUGGAUAAAGCCAUCGAAAGAAGAAUGGAUAAAGAAGAUGUGGUUUAUGUAUACAAUGGAAUAUUAUUCAGCCAUUAGAAACGACAAAUACCCACCAUUUGCUACAACGUGGAUGGAACUGGAAGGUAUUAUGCUGAGUGAACAACUGAAGUAUUUCUGGAGUAUUAAGAAGUCCUUCAGAUGCAAAAAACACAUAUGGAACCUGAAUUUCCAGAAGAAAACCACCAAAACUAUCCAGCAAGAUCAGAUGCAGAAAACAGACAAUUUCCAUUCUACCACAACCACAGAAGGAUUUUAGUUUAUAUUCUUACUCUUUAAAACUGUGUCUGGAAGAAUCACUUUGAAGGCCCUGUGAGGAAUAUUCAAUUUCUUGCAGUGUUCGGUCCAACAGGAGUUCUCUACAAAAUUGUAUUCCACCACAAAUGAGAAGUUAGUCCAUGGGAAAUCUGCUCCAAUAUGUUGAUUAUGUACAAUUAUGCAGGAACUUGUACUGAAGACAAAAGAAAACCAAGAAAAUGGAAUUAUAUUUGUGUCAUUAUUUACUUGGAAGGCCAAAGUAAAUCAUGACUGUUUUUGGCUAUUUUAUUCUUCUCUAGUUUGUGCCUGCUUAUCUUGGAAACGCACUGUUGUAUUUUCUGUUGACUUAUUCUCCAAUUGUGCUAAUUCCUUUUUAUCUUUCUUUUUGAUGGUCAUACAUUUU